GCGACCAACACUGUAAGUGUCUCAAGUUCAGGAAGAGAGGAGUUUGCAUAGAAACUUCCAGGCAGUGACGCAUGGAUGUAACACUGACGCUUAAGUCAAACCACGAUUUAAACCGAGCGUGUUCUAGACAUCCAAGGAUUGAAGUGGGCUACUCACAGGGAGUCGUCGUUUGCUUCCGGUAAUUCACUGUGGAAUUUUUUACGAGCGCGCCGCAACCAGGCUGCAACAGCAAACACUGACCCAGCGUCCCAGAGCCUGCCCACCUCGCUCCACGCACUGCUCUGCGAUUGGUCCACGUGAGGUGAGUGGCGUCGGAAAACCUUUUCUGGCUUCACCCAAUUGGUCCACGUCAAGAGAGUGGGCGUUGAUUGGAAUGACGACAUUUCCAGGGGGUGCCACAGUGGAUGAGCCAUGUAAACCGCCAUCGAGGGGAAGGGUUCGGUUCAAGAUUCAAGAUUCAAAGUGUUUAUUGUCAUAUGCACA